rnacentral:pre_miRNA from 1 species
AGACACCCUUCUGGGGCAAGACUUGCUUCAGCAGGGCUUUGGUGCUCACUGAGUCUGCCCCCUGAGUGUGUCCCU